UGAAUCCUACGGGGGGCAGCAGUGAGGAAUAUUGGUCAAUGGGCGCGAGCCUGAACCAGCCACGUAGCGUGAAGGAUGACUGCCCUACGGGUUGUAAACUUCUUUUAUAAAGGAAUAAAGUGAGGCACGUGUGCCUUUUUGUAUGUACUUUAUGAAUAAGGAUCGGCUAACUCCGUGCCAGCAGCCGCGGUAAUACGGAGGAUGCGAGCGUUAUCCGGAUUUAUUGGGUUUAAAGGGUGCGUAGGCGGACUGUUAAGUCAGCGGUAAAAGCCCGGGGCUCAACCCCGGCGAGCCGUUGAAACUGG
rnacentral:rRNA from 1 species